UGCAGUAGAGAGCAUGGCCGUUGGGUGAGUCAAUGACUACUAGGAUGUCUCACCGCAAAUCUGAAACAGUGGAUAAAAUUGCUGCAACAGGUUACAAAUUGGUUAAUCAAGGGAUCCGACUAGGAUUUUGAGUGUCCAGAAGUCUCCCAAGACCCUACAUUGUUUGAGGGAGUGUACAAUAAGAAUGAACCUUGAUCCUCUUGAAGAGCACGCUGAUCAAGAAAAUUGGGAG
rnacentral:lncRNA from 7 species